rnacentral:miRNA from 1 species
AGAUAUUGGAACUGUAUAGGUGAAGUAUGUGUGUGUGUGUGUGUGUGUGUGUAUAUAUAUAUAUAUACACACACACACUUUUGUGUAAUAAAAUA